rnacentral:rRNA from 1 species
GACGAACGCUGGCGGCGUGCUUAACACAUGCAAGUCGAACGGUAAGGCCCUUCGGGGUACACGAGUGGCGAACGGGUGAGUAACACGUGGGUGAUCUGCCCUGCACUUCGGGAUAAGCCUGGGAAACUGGGUCUAAUACCGGAUAGGACCCUGGGAUGCAUGUCCUGGGGGGGAAAGCUUUUGCGGUGUGGGAUGGGCCCGCGGCCUAUCAGCUUGGUGGUGGGGUGAUGGCCUACCAAGGCGACGACGGGUAGCCGGCCUGAGAGGGUGACCGGCCACACUGGGACUGAGAUACGGGCCAGACUCCUACGGGAGGCAGCAGUGGGGAAUAUUGAACAAUGGGCGCAAGCCUGAUGCAGCGACGCCGCGUGAGGGAUGACGGCCUUCGGGUUGUAAACCUCUUUCAGCACCGACGAAGCGCAAGUGACGGUAGGUGCAGAAGAAGGACCGGCCAACUACGUGCCAGCCGCCGCGGUAA